rnacentral:tRNA from 1 species
GGGGCGUUAGCUCAGCCGGUUAGAGCAGGGGACUCAUAAUCCUCCGGUCGCGGGUUCAAGUCCCGCACGCCUCA